UUUUGAUGUGUUUCAACUUAUCAGUUCAGUUGAUACUAGAAGAUGAAGUUAGGUGUUAUGUCUUUUAGGCCUUGUUCACUUGAGUGGAUUUGUAGGAGAGAUUAAGACAUGAGGUCCCUAGAAGAUGAAGCUUGGGCGUCCAAUUGAAGGCCCAAGCCUUACAUGAGGUCCGUACACCGUCCAGGCGGCCUCCUAGGCCGCC
rnacentral:lncRNA from 1 species